rnacentral:lncRNA from 1 species
CCAAAACCACCACCGCUUUCGCCGUCUCGAGCUUCACCGCCGGAGACCUAACCGACGAAACGCCGGAAUCCACCGUUUCACACCGGAGACACAUCGAUGACACACACCUCUAUCAUCUUCUCCGACAGAAAUCAUCACCGAUCAACCAAAACACUUAAACACCGGAAACUUCCGGGAACUCAGACCACAACUACUGAAUAAACUUCCAACGACUGUAUUGGAAGAACAGACAAUUCAGUAGCGACGAACACAAACCUGAAUUUCGAAGAUCAUCAAUCGAAUAAAUCGAGAUCUUCUCCUAGCUCAGACCACCAAACACCAUCGAAACAUAACAGCUAGCUCCACUCGAGAUCGAAACUCCAAAACGAACUCCAAUAUCCGUCAGAGCAAAGAAACAUCGAUGAUGGAGAAGAAACGAACCAAGGCCGGAUGAUUCCGCCAAGGAGAACGCGAAACCACCGGAGUCCAAAGCCGGAUGAUUCUACCGAAGAGAUCAUGAACCACCGGAGAUCAGAGUCGGCUACACAGCAUCAAAGGAAUCACUGUAUACCGGAGACGUCGACAAAGGGACCACCACGAUUCUUUCACUUCUCCCAAUUUAAGAGAGAGAGGAGACAGAAUCUACCAUCCCUUAACCGUAAAUAUAUAGUUUAAGUGAGGUGAAGAAUUUUAGUAAAAAAAAAAAAAAAACUGAGGUAAAGAUUAUAUUAAUAUAUCUCACAUAGGUGGUGAUUGUGGUCUUUGAACAAUAUAUAAAUAUAUACAUGUAUAGAUAAUCUUCUACUCUUAAGUUAGUUUUUGGGUGUAAAUUAGGUCCAUCAAUAAUAGAUUAUUAAAAAACGAUGUCAAGCAGGCCAAUAAAGCAAAGUUAAGAUCUGAAAGAAAGAGUACAAUAAUCCACUUGUGUGGCUACCUCGAACCAUGCAUUCAUC